rnacentral:rRNA from 1 species
UACGGGGGGGGCAAGCGUUGUUCGGAAUUACUGGGCGUAAAGGGCUCGUAGGCGGCCAACUAAGUCAUACGUGAAAUCCCUCGGCUUAACCGGGGAACUGCGUCUGAUACUGGAUGGCUUGAGUUCGGGAGAGGGAUGCGGAAUUCCAGGUGUAGCGGUGAAAUGCGUAGAUAUCUGGAGGAACACCGGUGGCGAAGGCGGCAUCCUGGACCGAUACUGACGCUGAGGCGCGAAAGCGUGGGGAGCAAACGGG